rnacentral:lncRNA from 1 species
GCUUUGAACGCUGUCAUAGUAGUCAGCUGAUUUUCAAUGCGCGCAAAUAUACCCGCCAUUCUUUGUUGUGCCAGCAAGUAUAAUUAUACCUUGCUUUUUUAUCGUUCCGGUUUUGGUGAAGCUGCAUUUGGCUGCGCCACUCACCACCCGUGUUUAUAAGACGUAAUAUUCAAUUGGAGAUACCUUGCUUUUUAUCGUUCCGGCCACCAGAUUCGUUGGUUUUCAUAAAGUUUCAUUUGGCAGUACAAAAUGUUGACUCGAAAUGCUGAACA